GGAGGUUUAGCUCAGCUGGGAGAGCAUCUGCCUUACAAGCAGAGGGUCAGCGGUUCCGAUCCCGUUAACCUCCA
rnacentral:tRNA from 1 species